UUAAACCAAACUUCAUAACGGGAAGGAAGAUUAUUACCAUACUUUUGAAGCACGAGAGAGAGAGAGACAGAUGGAAAUGGGAGAGAAGAGAAAGUCCAGAGACAAGAAGAGCGGAAAUCGAUCAUGGAAGAGACUGUCUUCCGUCGUCUACGCCGGUCGUCGGCCGGCGGCCAUAAGAAAGUCCGUCGUCCCUAGUCAUCCGUUUUAGAAGAAGAUCGAGAGAAAGGAGAAAAACCAACGCUUUGCCCGGCCUUCGUUCGUUCUGCUCUGCCCACCGGACCCCUGAUAUCAACUAUGUCGAUGCAUUGUUAUUUCACUUGCCAUCCAUUGAUGUUUGAACCUUGCCGAGCUUAAUAUUUUAUUUCCUUCCUAUCUUGGUUCACUCAUUAUUAUUAUCCAUUUAGCUGUGAUGCCGGGUGAAAGAUUGGAGUGCAUUGUUCAAGUACCACAAUGGAAAUGCAGUGCCUACUCAAAUAAAUGAACAAAAAGAUCGCAGAGAAAAUAAAUCAGAAAAAAAAAAAGAAAUGAAACAAAUGAAAAAAAAAACAAAAAAAAAAAGAGAACAAAGAAAGAGAAAGAGAAAAAAAAAAAAAGUCAAUCAAAGUGCAAAUGUCGAACCUGUUGGUGCUGUGAAAGAAAACAUGAAAACAAAGAAGCAAAGGAACUCAUUAGGUCAAAACAUCCUAUGCCGGCCUUCAUCUACUCACACAAGUGCCAAGCUGCGUUAAUUGUAAAAAAUAAGAACAUUGUGGAGGUAUUGAAGACCGUCGGCGAGGGUUGGACAUGCAAUACUUACCCAAAGAAUGUUAAAUAAAUAAAAGAAGAAGAGAAAAAGAAAUGAAACGAAAAAUAAAGCCAAUCCAAAUGCUCACUUCAUAGAGAUGUCAAACUUGUUGGGGGCAAAAUGGAAGACAAUUAAUGAAGUCGUGAAGGAAAACAAGAAAACUAAAUAGCAAGGAAAAGGACAUGUUAAAGCCAAAACAUCCUAUGUCAUGUCUGAACUACAUUGAUUGAAGAGAAUAAGAACAUUAUUGAGAUUGUGUCGGUGAAGAAAGGACAUGAAGAAUGUGCUUAAUAGUACGGUCUGGCUAUUCUUUUGAAGUUGAGAAGAGAUAUUCAUCCUCUUUUGGAUGCCAAAGCUGAAAAGGUAAGUGUUUGGGCAGGAUGUAGUCUAUCGUUGGCUUAAUUACAUCUCAUUAAUAUUUUCUUUAUAAUGCAACACCACAAUGGACAUACAGUGCCUACCCAAAAAAACGAAAAGAAAAAAGAAAGAAAGAAAAAAAAAAAUCUGAAAAAAAAGGUUAAAAAAAGCAUAAAUGAAAAAAAAAAUAGAGAAAAAAGAAAAAGAAAGAUAAAAAGCAUAAAAGUUAAAAAAAAAAAAAAAAAAAAAAACUGUGAAAGAAAAAAAGAAAAAAAGGUGAGUAUAUAUGAAUUUGUUUACUUUUACUAAAUCCUAUUGGUUGUUAGUUUGUUAUACAAUCAUAUAUGGUUCUUCUACACAGAAGGACCCAUUACGGCCGAAACAUCCCAUGUUGGCCUUCAUCUACUCGAACAAGUGCCGAGCUACAUUGAUUUUAGAGAAUAAGAACAUUGUGGAGGUUUUGAAGACCGGCAGUGAGGGGUGGACAUGCAAUACUUACCCAAGGAAAGUAAAAUAAAUAAAAAAGAAGAAAAGAUAAACAGCAAAGAAAGCCAAUCCAAAUGCUCACUUCAAAGAGAUGUCGAACUGUUGGGGGCAAAAUGGAAGACAAUUAGUGAAAUCGUGAAAGAAAACAAGAAAACUAAAAUAGGAUGGAAAAGGACAUAUUAAAGCCAAAACAUCCUAUGUCAGGACUCCAUCUACUCGAACAAGCGGUGAGCUACAUUGAUUGAAGAAAAUAAGAACAUUGUUGAGAUUGUGCCGGUGAAGAAAGGACAUGAAUAAUGUGCUUAAAAGUACGCACCACAAUGGACAUGCAGUGCCUACCCAAAAAAACGAAUAGAAAAAAAAAAUUCUGAAUAAAAAGAAUAGUUAAAAAAAAAAAGAAAUGAAAAGAAACAGAAAAAAGAAAAAGAAAAGAAAAAAGCAAAAACUUUUGAAGAAACAGAAAGAGAAAAAAACAAAAGAAUAGAAAAAAAAGAAAGUUGUGAAAGAAAACAAGUGUCGAGCUACAUUGAUUUUAGAGAAUAAGAACUUUGUGGAGGAAGGAAAAAUACCCGUUAAAGCCGAAACAUCCUAUCUCAGCCUUCUUCUACUCAAACAAGUGGCGAGCUAUAUUGAUUGAAGAGAAUAAGAACAUUGUCGAGAUUGUGAAGAUGUGAGGGAUGGACAUGAAGAAUAUGCUUCAAAAGUAUGGUUUUGCUACUUUGUUGAAGUUGAGAAGAGAUAUUCAUCCUCUUUUGGAUGCCAAAGCUAAAAAGGUAAGUGUUUGGGCAGGAGAUGGUUUAUCGUUGGCCUUAAUUUGUGUUACAGUUUGCAAGUUUGUGCUUUUUUGGUUGUUGUUCUUACUGUAUUAUUUUGCAAAGAGAUCAAUAAAAAAGGUUGAAAAAAAGAAAAGAAAAAAAAAAGAAAAGAAAAGAGCUGGAAAAGGGGAAAUUUUUUUGAAAAAAACGGAAACAAAGAUGAAAAAAUUAAGAAAAAAAAAAAAAAAGAAAAAUGAAAAAAAAAGGAGAAAGAGAAGAAAAAAAUUGAAAAAAAAGCCAAUCAGAUGUUGACCUUAAGGAGAUGUGGAACCUGCUGGCGGCAAAAUGGAAAACAAGUCGCGAAAGAGAACAAGAAAACAAAGUAGGAAGAAAAAGAACUCAUUAAGCAGGAACAUCCUAUAUCACACUGAUUUCAGAGAACAAGAAUAUUUUGGAGUUGAAAAAUAGGUUGUAAAGACAGCUGGUGAGGUUGGACAUGCAGGACUUACGCAAGGAAAAAAAAAAACGAAAAAAGAAGAACUACAAAGAGAGAAGGGUCAAUGCUGAAAUGUUGCGCACUUAUGCUAUUGACCUGCUGACUGCAUGCUUGGAGAAUGGUGGUCAGUUAGUGGAAGAUGUGUUGACAUAAUGUGAUAUCUACGAGUACGGUUAACACAAACCAAAAGCUUCUAAGGUAUUGUUUGACAACAAAAGUGUGUCUAGCAUGGCUCUAAAGGCCAAAGAGGGUGGCAGGGGUAAGUCAAAGCAAGUGACAGAGAGUUUUCACAUGGAUACUGAGACUAUCAGAGCCCAUCCCACUGAGAGUGAACGUGAAAAAGAUCGCACAUCUAUGGACAACCUUGAUUGAGAUGAUGAGAGGUGUGGCAAUAGGCAAACAUAUGGGGAUAUGUACUGGGGUGAUGAGGAACAUCUUGAUAGUGUAGCUCCUGAGGUUGAUGCAUAUGAUGCUGAAGCAGAUAGUGACGAGAAGUGGGAUCUCUGCCAGUCAAAAGAAAAACCUGGUGGAAAAUCUCAUGGGGAAGAAGACUUUGAAGGAGUAUCGAUCGCGAUCAAGAGGUAGGUCCAAUGAAGGAGUUUCUGAGACAUUACUGAGUUGGUUAUGAAAGCAGUCGGAGCUGCUGAGCCGAAGCAAGAACAGACCAUGCACCUGCCUGUGCCAUUAAGGCUGCAGGUGCUGCUGCUGCUGAGGUCGUUAAGACAGCUGAUUAGAGUGCAGGAAUACAAGAAGACGAAUGACGAAGAAGCUAUUGUGGUUGCUGCAUCCAGAUCUUCAUCACACUGUUAUGGAUGCUGCCAGUGCAGUUGCUCUUGCAAGAAUUCAAAGCCAUGAAUUUGCUGAAUUUUCUAUUCCUGGUGGUCAUUCCCUUCUGAAGUUGAGAGAGAAAUUCUGUAUCCAGUGUCUGGUGUUUAUUGGGGAGUAUGUUGAAGUUCUUGGUUCUGUACUCCAUGAGAAGGAGUAAAUGUAUGCCUUGCACUACUGCAGCGAAGUCUUAAGCUCGAAGAAACACCCUACACUAAAUUCCUUAUGAAUGAACUUUGAAGCUAAUAUGUGCAUUGGCUGCUCACAGAAAGUUUUCUGCAUUGUUUGUUGAUUGCGGUGGCAUGGACAGACUCCUUGCGACUCCUAGAAAUGCCCAUACAUAUGUGGGUCUUUCUUCCUGCUUAUGAACUAUUGGGUCAAUUCAGGUGAUAAUGAAGUGUGUUUGUUCUCUUCCGCCAAAUAUUGUCCAUCAGAUUGUUAAGUUGGCUGGAACUGCGACAAUAAUUCAGGGCACAUCUCCUCUUGCUUGUGGAUUCUAUUCAACCUAACGAUGGUGAUGGCUAUGAUGAACCUGAGAUUGUUGAACCAGCAUUGAAUUUGUUAAUAAAUCUUGUGUGCCAUCCUUCAUCAAUAAGCAAUAAGCCAAGUCUCAUGCAAGGUCAGCAAUACGGAAAUCAAUCUGCUAUGAACUCCAGGGACAAAUUCAGAGAGGAAUUUCCCAGAGCGUGGUCUAAAUCAGAAUGAAUCAAGGGUUCGAACUGGGGAACUGACACCUAUGCCAUCAUCUGUUGGUAACACUUCAUCAUCACAGGAAUCUGCUUCAUUAGUUGCUUCUGGUUUAGUUGGAGAUCGCAGGAUUUCGUGCUUGGCUUGGUGCUCAGCUUGAACAAGGAUAUCGUCAAGCUAGAGAAGCUGUUCGUGUAAAGCAUGCUUCUUCAGCUUCUCCAACCUCGAAUGGUGACAUCCCCUGCAGCUCUUGAUUGUCUUCGUGCUCUUACAUGCCGAGUACUUUAGCAGCUAGUGAUGCAGCGACUCCCACUUUGAGACCAUUGAAAGAGGAGCAGCCAUUGCUGCUGCUACUCCAGUUUCUUAUCAUUCUAGGGCUUAUCCAUGAGCACCUUCAAUUAUCUGGAUUAGGUUAUCACCAAUGCCAUCCUUGGAUGCUCCAUCAUCUUUAGCACAACACGCAUCUGGGCAGGAGUUGUCAUCAAUACAAAUAGAAUGGCCAUCUGAAAUAGCAACUUGUGGAUUCUUGUUGGAUAGACCAAACUGGUGAACAUACACUCAGACCAUAUGGAUUCGAACUUGUUAUGCACACCAUCUGUUGAGAGUUUGCUAACCAGUCCGACCUAUUUAUCCUCAUGUCUGCCCUGAGCCAAGCAUUCAAUGUUUGCAUCACUGCCAUCAGAUUCAUCCCGGCGUUAAAUCCUUGUGUACGAUGAUAUCCAGUCUUGUCAAUUGGAUCUGACACUGACUGAUACUUCUAAUAACCCGUCUGGACAUGAUCAUGGAUGUGAUCAUUCAUAUUGACUCAAUGCUGCUUUGGAAUGGAGUUUUGUGGGAUCGCAAGACCAUUUCAUCGAUUUUAUCAAUUUACUGCCUAUGAUGGUGGGGGCUACCAUUCUGCUGGGAAUGAGAUUGUUGAACCAGCGUUGAAUUUGUUAAUAAACCUUGUGUCAUGAAUAAGCAAUAAGCCAAGUCUCAUGCAAGGUCAGCAAGCUUCUUCUACCCAAGCUGGAAUCAAUCUGCUAUAAACUCCAGGGACAGAAAUUCAGAGAAGAAUGUCCCAGAGGUGGUCCAAAUCAGAAUGAAUCAAGGGAUCAAACUGGGGAACUGACACCUAUGCCAUCAUCUGUUGGUAACACUUCAUCAUCACAGGCAUCUGCUUCAUUAGUUGCUUCUGGUUUAGUUGGAGAUCGCAGGAUUUCAUGCUUGGACAAGGAUAUCGUAAAGCUAGAGAAGCGUUCGUUCAAGGCAUGGUAUAAAAGGUUCUUCAGCUUCUCCAAUCUCGAAUGGUGACAUCCCCUGCAGCUCUUGAUUGUCUUCGUGCUCUUACAUGCCGAGUGCUUUUAGGUUGAUGCUAUUGCACAUAUAUUGACCGAACUUCAGGUUUGGAAAAGUUAUCAAAGCUCAUCCGAGUGGGAGCCAAACCGCCAGUGGUGACCAAAAUAGAUGGCAGGCGGAAUUAACUCAAGUGAGCUUAUUGGGCUUAUCCAUGAGCACCUUCAAGCAUCUGGAUUAGCUGAGAGUGCAUCUUUGCUAAGUUAUCACCAUUGGCUGCUCCAUCAUUUAGCACAACACACAUCUGGGCAAGAGUUGUCAUCAGUACAAAUGCAAUGGCCACUGAACGAGCAACUUUUCAGGAACACCAUCAGUGUCUACUGGGAAAUCAAGUGGCGAUCCAGACAAUCCGAGAAGAACUCCAAUAGUGUUGCCAAUGAAACGGAAAAACAGACAUGAAAGAAAAUGGGUUUGGAUCAUCGGUAAAACUGGUGAACAUACACUCAGACUACCUGGUUUUUCAACACCGAAUUCUGCUUGUAGAAGUGGUCUGCAGGUGGAUUCGAACAUACAUUUAAGGCGAGGAAGACGAUGAUGAUAAUGGCAGUGAGGUUCUUGAAUCUUUCAGCAGUGACUAUCUUCUGUGAUCGAUCCUUCUUAAAGCUGCAAUCCUACAGCUGAAGAUGCUCACACUUUUACGAUAAACCUCAUGAGAAUUGGUUGAAUCAAGAACAACAUCGUGAGGGGCAAGGCUAAUAAACCAAACCCGAUGAGAAUUGGUAUGUAGCUUUCUUUCAUUUUAUUGAGAUUAAAUUGAUGUCUGAUAUCAAAUUGAUGUGUUUUCACUCUGGUGAGGUUAAAUCAAGAACAAUCAUGAUAAGAAUUGGUUGAAUCAAGAACAUCAUCUUGAGUAGAGGGAAGUAUUAGAGGCCAAAUCCGACAAGAAUUGCAUUGUGAGUUAAAUGGGCAAGGCAUACGGACCAAUCAUGAUAAGAAUUGGUUGAAUCAAGAACACAACAUCAUGAGUAGAGGGAAAGAUUAUAGGCCAAGGAAAGUAAAAUAAAUAAAAAAGAAGAAAAGAUGAAACAGCAAAGAAAGCCAAUCCAAAUGCUCACUUCAAAGAGAUGUCGAACUGUUGGGGGCAAAAUGGAAGACAAUUAGUGAAAUCGUGAAAGAAAACAAGAAAACUAAAAUAGGAUGGAAAAGGACAUAUUAAAGCCAAAACAUCCUAUGUCAGGACUCCAUCUACUCGAACAAGCGGUGAGCUACAUUGAUUGAAGAAAAUAAGAACAUUGUUGAGAUUGUGCCGGUGAAGAAAGGACAUGAAUAAUGUGCUUAAAAGUACGCACCACAAUGGACAUGCAGUGCCUACCCAAAAAAACGAAUAGAAAAAAAAAAUUCUGAAUAAAAAGAAUAGUUAAAAAAAAAAGAAAUGAAAAGAAACAGAAAAAAGAAAAAGAAAAGAAAAAAGCAAAAACUUUUGAAGAAACAGAAAGAGAAAAAAACAAAAGAAUAGAAAAAAAAAGAAAGUUGUGAAAGAAAACAAGUGUCGAGCUACAUUGAUUUUAGAGAAUAAGAACUUUGUGGAGGAAGGAAAAAUACCCGUUAAAGCCGAAACAUCCUAUCUCAGCCUUCUUCUACUCAAACAAGUGGCGAGCUAUAUUGAUUGAAGAGAAUAAGAACAUUGUCGAGAUUGUGAAGAUGUGAGGGAUGGACAUGAAGAAUAUGCUUCAAAAGUAUGGUUUUGCUACUUUGUUGAAGUUGAGAAGAGAUAUUCAUCCUCUUUUGGAUGCCAAAGCUAAAAAGGUAAGUGUUUGGGCAGGAGAUGGUUUAUCGUUGGCCUUAUUUUGUGUUACAGUUUGCAAGUUUGUGCUUUUUUUGUUGUUGUUCUUACUGUAUUAUUUUGCAAAGAGAUCAAUAAAAAAGGUUGAAAAAAAGAAAAGAAAAAAAAAAGAAAAGAAAAGAGCUGGAAAAGGGGAAAUUUUUUUGAAAAAAACGGAAACAAAGAUGAAAAAAUUAAGAAAAAAAAAAAAGAAAAAUGAAAAAAAAAAAGAGAAAGAGAAGAAAAAAAUUGAAAAAAAAGCCAAUCAGAUGUUGACCUUAAGGAGAUGUUGAACCUGCUGGCGGCAAAAUGGAAAACAAGUCGCGAAAGAGAACAAGAAAACAAAGAAGAAAAAGAACUCAUUAAGCAGGAACAUCCUAUAUCACACUGAUUUCAGAGAACAAGAAUAUUUUGGAGGUUGUAAAGACAGCUGGUGAGGUUGGACAUGCAGGACUUACGCAAGGAAAAAAAAAAAAAACGAAAAAAGAAGAACUACAAAGAGAGAAGGGUCAAUGCUGAAAUGUUGCGCACUUAUGCUAUUGACCUGCUGACUGCAUGCUUGGAGAAUGGUGGUCAGUUAGUGGAAGAUGUGUUGACAUAAUGUGAUAUCUACGAGUACGGUUAACACAAACCAAAAGCUUCUAAGGUAUUGUUUGACAACAAAAGUGUGUCUAGCAUGGCUCUAAAGGCCAAAGAGGAUGGCAGGGGUAAGUCAAAGCAAGUGACAGAGAGUUUUCACAUGGAUACUGAGACUAUCAGAGCCCAUCCCACUGAGAGUGAACGUGAAAAAGAUCGCACAUCUAUGGACAACCUUGAUUGAGAUGAUGAGAGGUGUGGCAAUAGGCAAACAUAUGGGGAUAUGUACUGGGGUGAUGAGGAACAUCUUGAUAGUGUAGCUCCUGAGGUUGAUGAAUAUGAUGCUGAAGCAGAUAGUGACGAGAAGUGGGAUCUCUGCCAGUCAAAAGAAAAACCUGGUGGAAAAUCUCAUGGGGAAGAAGACUUUGAAGGAGUAUCGAUCGCGAUCAAGAGGUAGGUCCAAUGAAGGAGUUUCUGAGACAUUACUGAGUUGGUUAUGAAAGCAGUCGGAGCUGCUGAGCCGAAGCAAGAACAGACCAUGCACCUGCCUGUGCCAUUAAGGCUGCAGGUGCUGCUGCUGCUGAGAAUUCAAAGCCUUGAAUUUGCUGAAUUUUCUAUUCCUGGUGGUCAUUCCCUUCUGAAGUUGAGAGAGAAAUUCUGUAUCCAGUGUCUGGUGUUUAUUGGGGAGUAUGUUGAAGUUCUUGGUUCUGUACUCCAUGAGAAGGAGUAAAUGUAUGCCUUGCACUACUGCAGCGAAGUCUUAAGCUCGAAGAAACACCCUACACUAAAUUCCUUAUGAAUGAACUUUGAAGCUAAUAUGUGCAUUGGCCGCUCACAGAAAGUUUUCUGCAUUGUUUGUUGAUUGCGGUGGCAUGGACAAACUCCUUGCGACUCCUAGAAAUGCCCAUACAUAUGUGGGUCUUUCUUCCUGCUUAUGAACUAUUGGGUCAAUUCAGGUGAUAAUGAAGUGUGUUUGUUCUCUUCCGCCAAAUAUUGUCCAUCAGAUUGUUAAGUUGGCUGGAACUGCGACAAUAAUUCAGGGCACAUCUCCUCUUGCUUGUGGAUUCUAUUCAACCUAACGAUGGUGAUGGCUAUGAUGAACCUGAGAUUGUUGAACCAGCAUUGAAUUUGUUAAUAAAUCUUGUGUGCCAUCCUUCAUCAAUAAGCAAUAAGCCAAGUCUCAUGCAAGGUCAGCAAUACGGAAAUCAAUCUGCUAUGAACUCCAGGGACAAAUUCAGAGAGGAAUUUCCCAGAGCGUGGUCUAAAUCAGAAUGAAUCAAGGGUUCGAACUGGGGAACUGACACCUAUGCCAUCAUCUGUUGGUAACACUUCAUCAUCACGGGAAUCUGCUUCAUUAGUUGCUUCUGGUUUAGUUGGAGAUCGCAGGAUUUCGUGCUUGGCUUGGUGCUCAGCUUGAACAAGGAUAUCGUCAAGCUAGAGAAGCUGUUCGUGUAAAGCAUGCUUCUUCAGCUUCUCCAACCUCGAAUGGUGACAUCCCCUGCAGCUCUUGAUUGUCUUCGUGCUCUUACAUGCCGAGUACUUUAGCAGCUAGUGAUGCAGCGACUCCCACUUUGAGACCAUUGAAAGAGGAGCAGCCAUUGCUGCUGCUACUCCAGUUUCUUAUCAUUCUAGGGCUUAUCCAUGAGCACCUUCAAUUAUCUGGAUUAGGUUAUCACCAAUGCCAUCCUUGGAUGCUCCAUCAUCUUUAGCACAACAUGCAUCUGGGCAGGAGUUGUCAUCAAUACAAAUAGAAUGGCCAUCUGAAAUAGCAACUUGUGGAUUCUUGUUGGAUAGACCAAACUGGUGAACAUACACUCAGACCAUAUGGAUUCGAACUUGUUAUGCACACCAUCUGUUGAGAGUUUGCUAACCAGUCCGACCUAUUUAUCCUCAUGUCUGCCCUGAGCCAAGCAUUCAAUGUUUGCAUCACUGCCAUCAGAUUCAUCCCGGCGUUAAAUCCUUGUGUACGAUGAUAUCCAGUCUUGUCAAUUGGAUCUGACACUGACUGAUACUUCUAAUAACCCGUCUGGACAUGAUCAUGGAUGUGAUCAUUCAUAUUGACUCAAUGCUGCUUUGGAAUGGAGUUUUGUGGGAUCGCAAGACCAAUUCAUCGAUUUUAUCAAUUUACUGCCUAUGAUGGUGGGGGCUACCAUUCUGCUGGGAAUGAGAUUGUUGAACCAGCGUUGAAUUUGUUAAUAAACCUUGUGUGCCCUCCUUCAUGAAUAAGCAAUAAGCCAAGUCUCAUGCAAGGUCAGCAAGCUUCUUCUACCCAAGCUGGAAUCAAUCUGCUAUAAACUCCAGGGACAGAAAUUCAGAGAAGAAUGUCCAAGAGGUGGUCCAAAUCAGAAUGAAUCAAGGGAUCAAACUGGGGAACUGACACCUAUGCCAUCAUCUGUUGGUAACACUUCAUCAUCACAGGCAUCUGCUUCAUUAGUUGCUUCUGGUUUAGUUGGAGAUCGCAGGAUUUCAUGCUUGGACAAGGAUAUCGUAAAGCUAGAGAAGCGUUCGUUCAAGGCAUGGUAUAAAAGGUUCUUCAGCUUCUCCAAUCUCGAAUGGUGACAUCCCCUGCAGCUCUUGAUUGUCUUCGUGCUCUUACAUGCCGAGUGCUUUUAGGUUGAUGCUAUUGCACAUAUAUUGACCGAACUUCAGGUUUGGAAAAGUUAUCAAAGCUCAUCCGAGUGGGAGCCAAACCGCCAGUGGUGACCAAAAUAGAUGGCAGGCGGAAUUAACUCAAGUGAGCUUAUUGGGCUUAUCCAUGAGCACCUUCAAGCAUCUGGAUUAGCUGAGAGUGCAUCUUUGCUAAGUUAUCACCAUUGGCUGCUCCAUCAUUUAGCACAACACACAUCUGGGCAAGAGUUGUCAUCAGUACAAAUGCAAUGGCCACUGAACGAGCAACUUUUCAGGAACACCAUCAGUGUCUACUGGGAAAUCAAGUGGCGAUCCAGACAAUCCGAGAAGAACUCCAAUAGUGUUGCCAAUGAAACGGAAAAACAGACAUGAAAGAAAAUGGGUUUGGAUCAUCGGUAAAACUGGUGAACAUACACUCAGACUACCUGGUUUUUCAACACCGAAUUCUGCUUGUAGAAGUGGUCUGCAGGUGGAUUCGAACAUACAUUUAAGGCGAGGAAGACGAUGAUGAUAAUGGCAGUGAGGUUCUUGAAUCUUUCAGCAGUGACUAUCUUCUGUGAUCGAUCCUUCUUAAAGCUGCAAUCCUACAGCUGAAGAUGCUCACACUUUUACGAUAAACCUCAUGAGAAUUGGUUGAAUCAAGAACAACAUCGUGAGGGGCAAGGCUAAUAAACCAAACCCGAUGAGAAUUGGUAUGUAGCUUUCUUUCAUUUUAUUGAGAUUAAAUUGAUGUCUGAUAUCAAAUUGAUGUGUUUUCACUCUGGUGAGGUUAAAUCAAGAACAAUCAUGAUAAGAAUUGGUUGAAUCAAGAACAUCAUCUUGAGUAGAGGGAAGUAUUAGAGGCCAAAUCCGACAAGAAUUGCAUUGUGAGUUAAAUGGGCAAGGCAUACGGACCAAUCAUGAUAAGAAUUGGUUGAAUCAAGAACACAACAUCAUGAGUAGAGGGAAAGAUUAUAGGCCAAAUCCGACAAGAAUUGGUACGCAUUUUUCUUUCUUUUUGUUGGAAUCAGUGCUAGAUUUUUCAUUUUGUUUUCUCUUUAUUGAGGUUGAAUCAAGAACAAAAUUGUGAUGUUAAAAGGGCAAGGCAUACAGACCAGACCAAUCAUGAUAAGAAUUGGUUGAAUCAAGAACAACAUUGUGAUGUUAAAGGGGCAAGACAUACAGACCAAUCAUGAUAAGAAUCGGUUGAAUCAAGAACGACAUCGUGAGUAGAGGAAAGGAUUAGAGGCCAAAUCCGACAAUAAUUGCCGUUGUGCCAACACACGGACGACAAUCUUCCACCUCUAUCAUCUUAAGGCUUUUGAUGUUCCUGGAAUCUCGCGCAAUUUGUAACAGUGUCUGAUAACCAGGCGCUCCAGUUUUGGGAAACGGCGAGAGUUGGCUCCCCACACCUCCAUGUCCAAGUCUUCGGGGAGGCUGAUUGCCAAGCAAUGCAACGGACUACCGCUGGCGCUUGUGGUGAUCGGAGGUAUUCUUGUGGACUACACGUCGCAAGAAAUGAGCGCAAUCCGUGCGAUGGCCCAGGACGCCGGGGUCCUCCCUCUCCAACUCGGUCGAGUCAUUCCUGGCGGACGAAUGCUAUAGAGAUCUGAAAAGGACUCGGUAACUAGUCUGAACAACGACGCUUCCCGCCCUUCGAACCGUUGCUACGUGGUAUUCCCUUCUGCUUUGUAGUAGUAAAGGGGAAGAUAUGUCUCUCGAGCCUUUAUUGUUUAUUGAAGGAAUAGGGUUUUGGUUUGGUCAAGAACGGUUGGUUCGCGAGAAUCCUGGCUUCGUUGUAAAAGCCUAUCCGGCUGAAAGGCUGAAUCUUAGCUUAGUAAGACACCGCCUUUACUGACUCAUCCAUUCUCCUCUCGGAUAAUGUGAGCAAUUACGUGAAAAA